UCCGUAGGUGAACCUGCGGAGGGAUCAUUACAGAGUUGCAAAACUCCCAAACCAUCGUGAACGUUACCUACAUCGUUGCUUCGGCGGGUGGCGGGCUUCGGCCCUGCCCUCGGCCCCUCUCGGGGGCCCGCCGGAGGUACACCAAACUCUUGAAUUUACAUGGCCUCUCUGAGUCUUCUGUACUGAAUAAGUCAAAACUUUCAACAACGGAUCUCUUGGUUCUGGCAUCGAUGAAGAACGCAGCGAAAUGCGAUAAGUAAUGUGAAUUGCAGAAUUCAGUGAAUCAUCGAAUCUUUGAACGCACAUUGCGCCCGCCAGUAUUCUGGCGGGCAUGCCUGUCCGAGCGUCAUUUCAACCAUCAAGCCCCCGGCUUGUGUUGGGGACCUGCGGCACACCCGCAGGCCCUGAAAACCAGUGGCGGGCUCGCUGUCCACACCGAGCGUAGUAGCAUAUCUUUGUCUCGCUCAGGGCGUGCGGCGGGUUCCGGCCGUGAAACCCACCUUCUCGAAGGUACCCAAAGGUUGACCUCGGAUCAGGUAGGAAGACCCGCUGAACUUAAGCAUAUCAAUAAGCGGAGGA
rnacentral:rRNA from 1 species